rnacentral:tmRNA from 1 species
CAUCUUUCAUUUACCCGCAAUAAUCCCUAUAUUAUCCGGGUCGGCUUGCCGACUAUGGCGAUAAACGUCACUCGUAAUAAGCGUUGCGGACCCGGGGGCAGUGCCCGGCGCCUCCACCAUUAUUCGCCGUGACCCUCGGAGUCAUGGCCACUCAUGGGGGCGAACCAGGAUCGACGUGCGUGGUAAAGGGGUGAUUUUUGCUCGGCAUGGCACCACCGUUAUCGGGCUAACAUUAGAACUGCCAAUGACAAUGAGCCUUUGGCAAUCGCUGCUUAAUUUAAUUAGGUAAGCGCGGCUCGGGGGGCGCCGGGCAACAGAAGCCCCCCACU